AAGCCAUUGUGCGGACAAUCUCGCACCAAUCUCUUAAACCUCGCCCAGGCAUCGUUGAGCGAUUCGUCAGUUUCCUGUUCAAAAUUUGUAAUCAACUUGCUUCUUCU